rnacentral:rRNA from 1 species
AUUGAACGCUGGCGGCAGGCUCAACACAUGCAAGUCGAGCGAGCGGCGGACGGGUGAGUAAUGUCUGGGAAACUGCCUGAUGGAGGGGGAUAACUACUGGAAACGGUAGCUAAUACCGCAUACCAUCAGAUGUGCCCAGAUGGGAGUAGCUAGUAGGGGGGGUAAUGGCUCGCCUAGGCGACGAUCCCUAGCUGGUCUGAGAGGAUGACCAGCCACGCUGGAACUGAGACACGGUCCAGACUCCGACGGGAGGCAGCAGGGGGGAAGUUUGCACAAGGGGGGCAAGCCUGAUGCAGCCAUGCCGCUUGUGUGAAGAAGGCCUUCGGGUUGUAAAGCACUUUCAGCGAGGAGGCGUUACUCGCAGAAGAAGCACCGGCUAACUCCGUGCCAGCAGCCGCGGUAAUAC